UACCAAUGAAUUUUACAACGUAUACUUU
rnacentral:sRNA from 1 species